GCCGGCAUAGCUUAGUGGUAGAGCGUUGCACUUGUAUCUUGACGAUAUGCAAAGGUCGCUUGUUCGAGUCAGGCUGUUGGCA
rnacentral:tRNA from 1 species